CAGUGUUCUAACCAAUGUACUGUGGCCAUUGCCACAAAACGACGAUAGCAGCGACAUAGACAUGUUGGAAGAGCCAGGUCACUCCCUGGAAACCAGGGUAUUAGCCAUUAUUGGUGAAGAUGCAGAUGGAAAAGUGAACAGACCUCCCGACUUGUGACAAUCCCCCAAGAACACACAGAUCGAUGAUGAUGACCAUCAGUCACACAAGCAUAACAGAGAGACGCAUAAAAACUGGUUGAUUUAGCAUGAGUAAGAUUAACAUAGUAGUUAAGAUUGAAAGAGUAACACAAAUCCAUUGAGUUUAGGGCUGGGCGAUAUGGGCAAAAAAAAACGCGAUUGCGAUUUAAUCGCGAGUUUCUUAUAAAUGACUAUAACACCUUCAUUUUGCAUUAAAAAGUUUAUUUAACACUACAGAA